rfam:Apis mellifera strain DH4 linkage group 1, whole genome shotgun sequence.
AAAAUGGCCCUUUUCAGGGCCACAAAUUCUUAUAUACAAAGGAAC